UGGGGAAUAUUGGGCAAUGGACGCAAGUCUGACCCAGCCACGCCGCGUGAGUGAUGAAGGCCUUCGGGUCGUAAAGCUCUGUGGGGAGGGACGAACAAGUUCCGUUCUAAUACAACGGGGCCCUGACGGUACCUCCUUAGCAAGCACCGGCUAACCCUGUGCCAGCAGCCGCGGUAAUACAGGGGGUGCAAACGUUGCUCGGAAUUAUUGGGCGUAAAGCGCGCGUAGGCGGCUACCUAAGUCGGAUGUGAAAGCCCCUGGCUUAACCGGGGAAGUGCACCCGAAACUGGGUAGCUAGAGUGCAAAAGAGGGUCGCGGAAUUCCCAGUGUAGAGGUGAAAUUCGUAGAUAUUGGGAGGAACACCGGUGGCGAAGGCGGCGACCUGGGUUGACACUGACGCUGAGGCGCGAAAGCGUGGGGAGCAAACAG
rnacentral:rRNA from 1 species